GAUGUACGCUGGCGGCGUGCCUAACACAUGCAAGUCGAACGGAGUCGUUUUGGAAAUCUCUUCGGAGAUGGAAUUCUCGACUUAGUGGCGGACGGGUGAGUAACGCGUGAGCAAUCUGCCUUUAAGAGGGGGAUAACAGUCGGAAACGGCUGCUAAUACCGCAUAAAGCAUUAAAUUCGCAUGUUUUUGAUGCCAAAGGAGCAAUCCGCUUUUAGAUGAGCUCGCGUCUGAUUAGCUAGUUGGCGGGGUAACGGCCCACCAAGGCGACGAUCAGUAGCCGGACUGAGAGGUUGAACGGCCACAUUGGGACUGAGACACGGCCCAGACUCCUACGGGAGGCAGCAGUGGGGAAUAUUGCGCAAUGGGGGAAACCCUGACGCAGCAACGCCGCGUGAUUGAAGAAGGCCUUCGGGUUGUAAAGAUCUUUAAUCAGGGACGAAACAAAUGACGGUACCUGAAGAAUAAGCUCCGGCUAACUACGUG
rnacentral:rRNA from 1 species